rnacentral:lncRNA from 1 species
AUGAGCAUUAGUCACCCUCCUUACAAGAAACAGCCUGUGUCCUCUAGUAGCCUCCUUCUCCUAAAGAGCUCUGAAAUGCUUAAACAUCUCAAGUCUCACACUGUCACCCUUCCUACUCUUCUCCUGAAAAGCAAGGGGAGGAGGGGAAGGACUCCCUUCCUUCCUUCCUUCCUUCCUUCCUUCCUUCCUUCCUUCCUUCCUUCCUUCCUUCCUUCCUUCCUUCCUUUCUUCCUUCCUUCCUCUUUCUUCCUUUCUUUCUUCCUUCCUUCCUCUCUAUCUAUCUUACUUCCUUCCUUCCUCUCUCUUUCUUUCUUUCUUCCUUCCUUCCUCUCUCUCUCUUUCUUCCUUCCUUCCUCUCUCUUUCUUUCUUUCUUUCUUUCUUUCUUUCUUUCUUUCUUUCUUUCUUUCUUUCUUUCUUUCUUUCUUUCUUUUUCUUGCUGCCCCUCUGGCAUAUUUUAUUUCAGAUACCUGCUUAGCUUCAAACCUCAUUUGGAUGGUUAAAUGAGAAUAGGAGUAUGAAUGCAAAAUGGCAGUGCGGUUAUAGCUCCCUGUCCUCUCUGAAACUAGGGGUUGAUGUUGGAUAAAAUGAAAUCAAGUUUAGAUCAACAGCUAGCUCUCACGUUUGAAUCUAAGUCAAACCUAGAAAGUCAGGAUUGGGGGAGUGCACACCCUAAGCUAUGGGUAUGCUUUAUACAGACAUCAAAGAGAUAAAAGGGGAUAGAUGUAUGCCUUAGAGUUUGUCCUGGAACCCACAGGGGCCAUAAGGGCAUUCCUAUGGGUAAAUGUGGGAGGGAUACAUAGGGGAUGGAGUGGGACUAUUGAGAAACAGAAAAAAGUAAGGGAAUCUCAAGAAUCAGUACUCGGCUUGAAGGUCAGAAGACCAGGGUUCAAAUUCUCUCUCAGGUAUUGAAUAACUGUGUGACUCUACACAAGAUCCUUAACUUCUGAGACCUUUUUAUCUGUGAAAUGAGAAUUAUGGCACCUUCUUCAUAGGGUGGUUCUAAGGUCAAAAUAUGUCUCAAAUACUCCAUAUCAGUAUGACCUUCUAUGAUUUUUGCAAUCUGAAGCAAUCCAAAAAAAUCCCCAGAAGAAAAGUGAGGUGUUUGGUGAACAGUUUGCUCUCAACCAGGCCUAUACUGGAGCCAGCUCAAACAUGCUGAAGGAAGCCCAUUGUUAAAUUUCAGUGAGCAUUUAUACCUCAGAAAUCUCUGAACACUACAAAUCAAAGCUGGAUUUAUUGUACUAGAUUGUCUAGCCUUAAGUAUUAGUAAUGCAAUUUACACUUAAAUGUGUAUUGUGGACAUCAUAUAUACCCCACUUAGGGAGCCAGUUGUUAAAUAUUUACCAGAACACCCCUGCCCUCAACUGAAAUUAGUCUCUUUGAGAUUUCCUUCCCCAAUUACUGUAGGUUGUCCAGGACUUUUUUUUUUUUUGGUCUGGCUGGCCCAACGAUUAAAAUGAGCAUAUUAAGUUCCUCUCCACUUCCAGUCUCAGGACUCAAUCUCUCCUUCCACCUUGCCCUUAUUCCACUAGGCAAAAUCUUGCUCUUAGACGCCCUCCACAGCCUUUGUCUCUCCAGCUGCUGUUAGGGAGCACAAAUUCCUAUGCAAACCUACAGACAUACGUGGGUUCUGAUGCUUCCCAUAACGGGCAGCUUUUAUUAUUUUUUUUAAGAGGGCAAGCUUGUGGGUAACACAGCUGGUGACAAUUAGAGACAUCUGGCUGACUCAGCAAGAAAAGUGGAAGGAGCAGGAGGCUUCAGCUGGUAAAGGAUUUGCCCUAGAAACAGAAUAGUCAGUGGAUCAGUUCCUGAGGGAGAGAAAAGGACCUGCUGAUUGAGAAGAAGGCACUUAAACCUUUCUUAAAAUCCUUGCUCUCCUUGCCACCUACGAGAGCCUCCUAAGGCCACCAGGUGGUGGUGUGUGGAUACUCAAGUUGGGAGCUUUCUUCCUGGUUGGUUCCACACCCCUGGAGGUUAUUAUACUCCAGGUAAGUAUUAGUUCAUGGAAAGUGGGUACCAGGAGCCCAGGGCAGAUUCAGCUGCAAAAAGCCCAGGGAAAUGAAUGCCCCAGUGCAUGUGCACAUUGCAAUUUACACCAAUCUCAGGCUGUAAUGUUGAUGUGAAAGGGAUGGGUUUGUCUAGAAUCCAAGGUGGUUGUGAAAGAUGGGCACUCUUAAAAUCAGAUGAGGAGAAAGAAAGAAAGAAAGAAAGAAAGAAAGAAAGAAAGAAAGAAAGAAAGAAAGAAAGAAAGAAAGAAAGAAAGAAAGAAAGAAAGAAAGAAAGAAAGAAAGAAAGAAAGAAAGAAAGAAAGAAAGAAAGAAAGAAAGAAAGAGUGAGCCAUUUUCCUAAAUGUUGAUAUGAAAACUGGACCUGGCUCUCUUGAUUUUUAAAAUAUGCCUAUUUCCAUUAGAGCAUCCAUGUCUGAUUUUUUAUUACCCCAUUUGGGGUUUUCUUCACAAAAAUACUGAAGUGGUUUGCCAUUUCUUUUGCCAGCUCAUUUUACAGACGAGGAAACUGAGGCAAACAGAGUGAAGUGACUUUCCCAGGGUUACACAGCUAGAAAGUGUCUGGUUUGAAUUCAGGCUUCCCCUAACUUCAGACCUGGCUUUCAGUCCACUAAGCCACCUAGCUAUCCCUUCUGCUCUCUCUUAAAUAUAGUUUAAGAAAAAUAACACCAUCCCAAAACAAAUAUGCAUAAAAUCCCCACAUUGGCUAUAUCUAAAAACAUUCAAAUGAAACACCUACUCUAGUCUUAUUCUGUAUGUUAACAGCCCAUCACUUCUUUUGUCAGGAGGUAGGCAACAUGUUUCAUCCUCUAUCCUCUGGAAUCAUGAAUUAUCAUUGCAUUGACCAGAGUUCCAAAGUUUUUCAAAGUUGUUUUUCUCUAUGAUAUUUUUGUCAUUGUAUAAAUCAUUCUCUUAGCUUUGCUCAUUUCACUAGGCAUCAGUUCAUUAAGGCCUUCUUAGUUUCCUCUGAAGCUGGCUAUUUCAUCACAUCUUAUAACUUAAUAAUAUUCUGUUUCAUUAAUAUUCCAUAAUUCAUUUAGCCAUUCCCAAUAGGAGGGUACCUCCCCAUCCCCCUUAAGUUUCCAUCAUUUCUUGUUGUUCAGUUGUUUUAGUCAGGUCUACUUUCUCAUGACCCUAUUUCUUGGUCAAAAUACUGGAGUGAUUUGCCAUUUUUCUCUCUGGCUCAUUUGACCGAUGAGGAAAUUAAGGUAAAAUGAUUAAGUGAUUUGCCCAGGGUCAUAUAGCUAAUAAGAAUUUGAACUUGGGAAGAUGUUCCUGGAGAUAUCUUAUGCCCCCUAGCACUUUCCACAGCAGAGUUAUUAAACUGGGUCAAUAGACCCAGAACCAGUGGCUUUUCAGUACAUAUUGGUAGCGCUUUCCAUCAAGCACAGGUUGCACACUUCACAUAAACAUUUGCUGUCAUCUAGGGUCAGAAAAUGGCAGUUAGGUGACAUAGUGGAUUGAGUGCAGUCCUGCAAGUCAAGAAGACCUCAUUUUAAAUGUGGCCUCAGAUACUUCCUAGCUAUGUGACCCUGGGCAAAUCACUUAACCUUGUUUGCCUCAGUUUUCUCAUCUGUGAAGUGAGCUGGAGAAGGGAAUAGGAAACCAUUCUAGUAUCUUUUUCCAAAAAACUCCAAAUGGGGUCAUGAAGAGUCAAACACAAUUGAAAUGACUCAAUAAUAAAAUUGAUCACCUAUACUUUCA